rnacentral:tRNA from 2 species
GCCGAGGUAGCCAAGCGGCCCACGGCGCCGGUCUUGAGAACCGGUGGGGCCUUGCCCCGCGGGAGUUCAAAUCUCCCCCUCGGCGC